UGAUGCAGCCAUGCCGCGUGGGUGAAGAAGGCCUUAGGGUUGUAAACCCCGUUUCAGCGGGGAAGAUAAUGACUGUACCCGCAGAAGAAGUCCCGGCUAACUCCGUGCCAGCAGCCGCGGUAAUACGAGGGGACUAGCGUUGUUCGGAAUACUGGGCGUAAAGCGCGCGUAGGCGGAUUUGCAAGUCGGGGGUGAAAGUCCCGAGGCUCAACCUCGGAACUGCCUUCGAUACUGCAAAUCUCGAGUCCGAGAGGGGUGAGUGGAAUUCCUAGUGUAGAGGUGAAAUUCGUAGAUAUUAGGAAGAACACCAGUGGCGAAGGCGGCUCACUGGCUCGGUACUGACGCUGAGGCGCGAAAGCGUGGGGAGCAAACAGGAUUAGAUACCCUGGUAGUCCACGCCGUAAACUAUGGGUGCUAGCCGUCGGUCGGCAUGCCGGUCGGUGGCGCAGCAAACGCAUUAAGCACCCCGCCUGGGGAGUACGGUCGCAAGAUUA
rnacentral:rRNA from 1 species